rnacentral:rRNA from 1 species
CCUACGGGUGGCUGCAGUGGGGAAUAUUGGACAAUGGGCGAAAGCCUGAUCCAGCCAUGCCGCGUGUGUGAAGAAGGCCUUCGGGUUGUAAAGCACUUUCAGUGGGGAAGAAAGCCUUGGGGCUAAUACCCUCGAGGAAGGACAUCACCCACAGAAGAAGCACCGGCUAACUCCGUGCCAGCAGCCGCGGUAAUACGGAGGGUGCGAGCGUUAAUCGGAAUUACUGGGCGUAAAGCGCGCGUAGGCGGUCUGAUAAGCCGGUUGUGAAAGCCCCGGGCUCAACCUGGGAACGGCAUCCGGAACUGUCAGGCUAGAGUGCAGGAGAGGAAGGUAGAAUUCCCGGUGUAGCGGUGAAAUGCGUAGAGAUCGGGAGGAAUACCAGUGGCGAAGGCGGCCUUCUGGACUGACACUGACGCUGAGGUGCGAAAGCGUGGGUAGCAAACAGGAUUAGAGACCCCUGUAGUC